UGCAGGAUGACCCUCAAAGUGGUGAUUAUCGGCUGAAAUCACGGAAGCGAGAUAUGUGAGGCCGUUUGUUGAGUCAUAUGAAAGAUCAGGCGCAUAUUGGCGAAAGAAUGCUCCAAAACUUUGUCCAAGGAUGAUCCUCAAAGUGGUGAUUAUCGGCUGAAAUCACGGAAGCGAGAUAUGCGAGACCGUUUGUUGAGUUAUAUGAAAGCGUGAAAUGUCGUAUUGCCGAUGAAAUGAAAACCUUGCUUGUAAACUAAAUUGGAAGAAGUUUUCUAACUGCAACCGAACGUCAUCGUCACUGUCCCGUCCUGAAGAAAUGUGCAAUGAUUCUUGCAGAACAGAAUUAAUAUACGCCAAAGCCACAUGAAGUUCUUAGCGUGCAGCAGAAGGGCAUGUGUAUGUGCCUGCCAUUAGCGACCUUCCUAUGCUCCAAUAUCGUCUCUCUGUGUUAACCUCUUUUCAGUUAGCAUCGAAAGCAUUUUAAAGUCUCCAUGAAUCACUUCCUGUUAUGCGUAGGAGUUCGGCUUAUGGAAUUUUUUCCACAGGGAACCGCUACAUAGGGUAGAAGGCAAUCACGACUAACGAUGGACUCAUUAUGCUGCAUAAAAUCUAUGGAAAAGCGUGUGCGGCAUUUGAAUAAAAGUUACGUUUGUUAACGAAA